rfam:Archaeon GW2011_AR13 QT05_C0031, whole genome shotgun sequence.
AGCCCUGUAGUACAGCGGUCAAGUAUAACUGGUUCUGGGCCAGUUGACCCCGGUUCGAAUCCGGGCAGGGCUA